GCUCUUUUUCUUGGAAGAAAAAUGAUAAGUUUGACGUAGAGUCAACAACUCUGAAAGUGGAGGAAUCGCACUGUUGCAUGCACCGGAUUGCAAUAGCUCCAUCGCUACUGUUUUUUUCAGGCCUUUUGUCUUGUUUCGUGAGAUGUAUUUUACCUGGUAGAUUAAAUAGGUCAACAAUUUAUGAUAAGUUACAAUGGUUCUGGCUGAAGUAAAAGGGUCAGAAAUAUACAGGUUCCAUUGGAUUCGUGAAUUAACUUCGAAGUUUAGUGGAUGUCAAGAUGUGUUAAACUGACUAUUCUUUUUGUGUAUAGAGAUGGUAUAGUCCAGGUGUGUGUCCAGAUCUUAUUCAGCAAUUCCAUAUGCUUAGUACAACUUCAUGCCAUGGUUUCUUUAAGAUAUCUUGCAGGCAAGAUGUUUUUUUUUGAAAAAACGACAGUAACCAUUAAGAUGUCUUGCUGUGUUCAGUUCAGAAUUUGUUUCCUUUAGACACCAGAAGUACCCCAAUUGUUCGGUCCAUGUAGGAGCAGCAGACAUUUGAUUGGAUCCCUGAUACCCUAAAGCUUUGAAAAUUCAAAGCAAUUCAACUGAUAUGCCACUUUUAUCUUUUUGUUUUAUUGAUUAUUAUGCAGAUUCUAAGUGGUCGUCGAAGAGCUGGAACUCUGCUACUGUUAGUCUGCGGUUCAAAUCAUCUACAAACAAAGGUAAAUAGGAAUAUCAUGCAAGGACAGAUCAAGUAGAGAUUUGGAGAGUCAUAAUGACAUUUAUUUAGAGAAUUAUGCCGUCAUACUUCAUCACUGGCGCAACAAAGCUCCCUGGAGGGAAAUACAUAUGUGUAUCCCUCCUGUCAGUUAUUUAAACUUCACCACAUUCUGUGUAUUAUCAGUGGUGUGGAACCCUUUUGUUCAUUUGAGUGGGCGUACUUACAAGAUGCAAAUUUCCAAUCAUAGCUGCUAUUUACUACACCAUUGUUGGUACUGUUCUGUUAGCCAAAUUUCCCACCCCACCACUCCCCUUCUGCUCCUUCCCUCACCCACCAUCGCUACCACCAGCACCACUGCUACAAGCACGAGCACGGCGCUGCG